CCCCCCCGCUCCACUUCUCCAAACGUGCCCCUUUCCGCUAACAGUUUCUUUUUCCUUCUUCCCUCCCUUACUUUCUUCCUUUUUUUUCUUUUCGGUUUCUUAUCUUGCCCGCUGCAGCCUAUGGUGGGGUUUGGGUUUUUUGGGGGUUUGGGUUUUUAUAAGCAGCAUGUUGAUUUUUAGCAAGCCCAUUGCGUUUUUAAAACGUAACUGCGAUGAGUGACAGGCAGUCUUCGGCGAAUUUCACUUAUGGGGAAAUCCUAAUCAACCUGGUGAAUUAAUUGUGUGUGUGUGUGUGUGUGUGUGUGUUUUAAAUCAGGUCUGGGCUUAUUCAAAAGGGGGGGGGGGUGAAAAAGAGCGAACUAGGGACGCCGAAAACGGGCAACAAACCUUCCGAGAGGAUUGAAGGGCCAGCGCUGACAGCGUUAAGCCGAAAUGACAGAAAGGGAUUUCGGCAUUUCCUAGAAAAUAGCACUUUUCAGAAUUGUAAAUGCGGGGUGCCACCAUAUAUAUGCGUUAUUAGAUUUUUAAAAAAUCUACUUAAAGAGGUGAGAUUUUUUGGGGGACCGAAUGUGUAUAAAUUGUAUGCUGUUUAGAACAAUUGUUGGCUAUUAGAGGAGCAGGCCUCGUCAUGUCUCAUUUUGAAAGAGUUUUCAAUAUUAAUUGUAGGUCAGCAAAAAGAACCAAGUUCUGCAUUAGCUAAUGGCUUAUACAGCUCACUUAUAGGAUAGACGAGUCAAAUGAAAACAGACCGGAAGAAGACUUACAUGAUGAAUUUUUGUGCAUAUAAUUUUCAAUUUGGUAUCUGCCGUAUGCAGAAUUUUUUCAUGUGUCCACAUGCAGACACAUUCUUCUAGAAAUAUAUAUACAUACAUACAUAUGUGUGUGAGUGUGUUUGAUUCAAUUAAAUUUUGUUUAAUUCAAUUUAAGGUACACAGCGCAUAAGAGUUGUGCAAACAUGGACAGCACUGUUUUGAACCUAGAAUGGCUACAUCAGAUGUCCCAAGUUUGAAAAGACAAUGGUGAUCUGGAAGUUUAAUUUGAGUUAACAUUAAAUAGUUCUGUUCUGCAUGUAAAAUAAAGCUUGGCUGCUUUGAAUGAAUCCAUGCUUGAAUUUUAUUUUUGAAGUUUGGGAUUGGAUUUUUUUAAAAUAGAAAAACAGCCUAGUCAGUUCAAUAGCAGGAAUUGACAAUACUAUGCUGUUUGUAGGUUAGAUUAAGAUAGGGUUAGACAGGGUGGGUGCCAUGUACAGAAUGCAGGGGCAAAGAUGUAGUUUCUAGGCCCUAGAAGAAAGAAUUGAAGGAUCCAUCUUCAUCACCUGCUUCUACUUUUGUGCCGUUUGAAGACUGCUUGCAAUUGUCUGCUUACCUGGUAAGCAAACUUUACCUGAUAAAUAAGUUACUGCGGGUUUUUUUUUACUUGUUGCUUAUUAAAAAUUAUACUUCAUGUUUUGUGUUGUUUUCUUUUAUAGCAGAUAGGCUGCUAUACUCCAGGUAAACAGGAGUAAAACAUAAGCAUGCCUUUUAAAUUAAAAAUCUCCAUGGCACUUCCCAAAUGUUUGCUCAUUGCUAUCUCCUGAAUCCUUUGAAUCAGAAUAUUCUAAACAAUUUCUCAAGCAUAUUUAACAAAUGGAAUCCCCUAUUUUUUAGCAUUCUUUCUUGCUACCCAUGGAAGGAAACAGUAAUGACAUUAAUCCAAUCAUCAGGCACUAUUCACUUUCAUUUCCUCAUGUCCCAACUUUAUAUACAUCUCUGUGACUUCGAAAAUGGAAGCCAUUCACCUGGGAGCUUGUAUCAUUCAUAGUAGGUUAGUAAUAGAUGCCAGGGAAACUGUAUGCCAAAGUCUCUAUGGGGAGGAGAGGGGGUGUAAUGUCAAACUAAUUUUUUGGCUGAAAACUUGUCAUGCUGCUGAAGAAGCAUUGGCAUUGAAAUCUGCUCUAAUUUGAGCAUAUGAAAAGUCAUGGAGGAGGAAAUGGGUCAUUUAAAAUAGUCCAUAAUGUCCAGCUGGCCAGCUAUCCUGGCAAAACAGCACAUCUUUUUUCAAGGAAGGAAGAUCUCUAACCAAUUGUUGUGAUGUCAUUCUCCCCAUUCCCAAGGAAAAGGAGAGAAAGAGAAAAUGGAAGAAUUGCAUGAAGAUCAUCUAGCUGAGCCUGUACAUAUGUAUCCUGCUUUUGCGGAGUGGAGAUUUGAUCAGAUAAGGAAAGAACCUUUCUUCCAGUCCCAAGAGUUUCCCAGAGUGAACCAAAUACCAAAGAAAAGAGAGAAAUUUUUUCCAGUGAAGAUACACUAUAAAGAAAACUCUCACCGCAGACAUGCAUAUAUACAGAGACUACUUAUCAGUAAAAUCUUUUUGACAUAUUCCUGAAAUCUGCCUGCCUGCCUGCUCCAUUUCCAUAAGGUUAUAACCCAUUUCAUGUGAGGAAGAAGAAUCCUAUUCCAAAGAAGACAGUUUGAGAAGCUCUGACAUGGGGAAUUCUUACAGAUGGCAUUUUUGAAGGAUGAGAACCUGGAGAUAAUAUUGGGUAGAGGCAUUUCUACCCCAAACCCAUGAAGGGAUUUACAUACAUCAACUAGCACCUUGAAUUGUACUCAGAAAAAAAAAGUGGUAGACAUUGCAGCCCUCGAAGUAGAGGUGUUAACAUGGGCAAACUGCAUUCUGGAUCAUCUGAAGUUUUGGGUGGUCUUCAAAUUUAGUCCCAUCUACAGAACAUCUGAGUAAUCUAAAUGGGAAAUAAGGCAUAAGUGAGUGUGAGCAAAGCCAUUCAGUGCAGAAAAGUUAAUAACCAGUGAAUAAGGUGGAGCUAUGAAAACCCUCUCAUAGCUGCAGUUCCCAUCUGCUCUUGAAACAGAAGCUGUGAGCCAGGAGGACUCCAGAUUACAACUCCACCAGUCCAAAACUGCAGUUGGGAUCAGAGGACUUUUCCACUCGAAACCACUUUGAAGUACUGGGUUUGAAUUUAAGCCAUCCAGACCCUCACAGCCACCAGGCACUGAGCAAAAUCUUCACUGUGUCUCCUGUUUAAACAGGAGUCAAGGUACACAGCCAAAUGUAUUUUAUAGAGAGGAUAACUUUGACAUAUCUAUGCAAGAACUUUUACAUAAAGGGGGCUAAUACAUCAUUCAGGCCCAUCCAUUACUUAUUCAGUUAGUGGCAGAAAUUCACUUCCACAAACAGUGCAACAUAGAAUACAGGUAAUUUCUCUUGCUUGGAACAUGUACAAUGUACAUGUACAAUGAUGUACAAUGGAUAGUUAUUUGAAAAUAGUAAAUAACUUCUGCGCAUUCCUAAUUAUGCCCAGGAAGUCAAAAUUAUUAGUUUUAAGAGGUAUUUCUAAUUAUAUAGGAAUAUUAAAAGGAGAAUAAAACUAAAUAUACUCUAAACUGGGGUUCUUUGGUGCUCUCUGAGUCUAGCACUGAUGAUGUUACCUAAUUUGGGUAAUGAAACGUCUGCAAGAAAACACUCAAAUUCAGAGAGCUCCAAGGAACCCUCAUUUCAACACUGAGUUACAAAUAUUCUCCUUUAUUGAUACUCUAAACCAGUGGCCCUAACCUUUCCAGCUCCCCAGAUCAGCGAUGGGAGGGAUGGGAUGGUUUCAUAUGUGCACCCGCCACAUGUGCAAAUGGAGCUUUGCAUGUUCACAUGCUCACCUGCCGCUUGCGUGGCCUAGUUCCCAACAAGAGGUGGACCAGUAUCAGUCUCUGGACUAGGGGUUGGGGAACCCUGCUCUAAACUAUGACAAUGGUCAUGAAAAUAAAAGGAAAUAAUGAACAUGAGUUAAAAAGUGGAAACAUAAAUCAGUGAGGCCAAUACUAUGCUUCAUAAUUCAGAAAAAUUUCCCAAUGACUAGUUUUGUCUCCAAUAUCUAUGAAGAUUCUCAGUCAUCCAGGUCAUUGUUGUCCCAAAUGUGCUUUUUCAAGAGGCAACGGAACUUUCUGUUUUUUCUUUGAAGAUGUUUUGCUUCUCAUCCAAGAAGCUUUUUCAGAGCUGAAGAAGCUUCUUGGAUGAGAAGCAAAACAUCUUCAAAGAAAAACCAGAAAAUCCAGUUGCCUCUUGAAAAAGCACCUUUGGGGCUGCCUGGACUCCACAAUGGAAAACACUAAAUUGAAAAUGAAUACAACAAUAGAGAGAGAUGAAGGAGGGAAAAGUUGGAAGGGAAGAGGAAAGAGAGAGAGGGAGGGAAGAGUAGGGACGAAAGAAGGGAAGGGAAAUUAGAGUAGGAGAGAAGGUAAGAUAGGGGAGAAGAGAGGAGGAGAAGGGAAGGGGAAGUAGGGAAGAGAAGAAGAAGGUGAGGAAGAAAGUAGGAAGGGAUAGAGAAGAGGGAAAGGAUGGGUUUGAGGAGAAAGAUUGCUGUAUAAUAAAAAGAUGAAGUGGAAGAAAGGCAACUCUGAAUGAACAAAUAUAAAUAUAUUAAGAUAAAGAAUGAAUUGUUUAAGAAUAAAAGAGAAUAAAUGUGAAUAAAUAGUAAAGUAAGAAUUUAGGGAUAAAUGAAGAUGAUGUUUAUGUAUGCAGGUAUAGAAAUAUUGAGAUAGGUUUUUUUUUUAAAAAAGGGAGAAAUAAGAAUAGGGGAAGACGAUUUUGGAAAAAACUGAAUAAAAUGUAUUUGAAUUUGAUUAAUUGUAUAAAAUAAAAAAUGGUCAAUGCUUUGUUAAAAAAAAAAGAUGUGGGUGAAUGUGGAAGAGAUUAAAAAACCAAUAAAACUUGUUUUUUUUUUAAAAAAAAGAAAAAGCACCUUUAGAUUUUGUCUCCAAUUUUGAAAAUUCAUCCCAGUUAAUAAGGCAUUGCUAAUCUGUGAGGUCAUAAAACUGAUUUAAAGACAAAAGUAAUCAUUUAACUGUUGCACACUCCUUGUUAGUAUAGCAACCAAAAGAUUAUUUCUGGGAAACUCUAAUGCGUUGUGAGUUUGUCUGCAAAUCACACCAGCUAUAGCCUUUCUUUAAUAACAGAGCUUGAUAAAUGAAGUUCUGUAAUUAGGUUUCUGUUUGGCACAACCGUUGAAUUGUAUUUAAAUUUUUUAUACAAGUUUCCAAUUUUAUUCAUUCCUAUAUUAAAACAAAUGCGUGCAAGCUGCUCUGGUUUCUCCUUGAAUCUAUUUUUCAACUCAGAUGCAGCGGUCAGUAAUAGUGGUAAACUAUUUCUUCUAAUUAUACUUCAUUUCCAUUCCUUCUUUGAAAAUUAACACCAUAUUCAUCCACAAAUUUAAAAAAGAUUUUUUUAAAUGGGUGUUUUCAAAUCUGUUUUAAUUAUUCUUUCUGGUUGCAGAAUCAUUAGUUUUUUUGGCUGCUUCAAAUGUGUUACUGAAAACAAUCCCAUCUCAUAUUUUUUUGCCAAGUUUUCAAACACGGAACUGUCUUUACAUCCAUGUUUUUCUUCCAUAAGAGUGAAGUUACAGUUAAAGGAUUUAGUACUCUCAGCGUAAUUGGAAUAAGAAAAGAAGUACAAUUAAUCUGAUUGAAUAUUCCAAAAGCUUUAUUUUGUGGAUGGCCAUAUUUUUCACAAGAGGAUGAACCUAUCAGUUUGGAUAAUAUUUAAACUAACUGGUAUUUUAAAAGGCUGAUUUCUAAUAUUUUCACUUUCAAAUAAAUCUGAAUAUUCCUUUACCUAUUCAGAAUGACUAAGCAGAGUUAAUGAUUUGAACAGCAAUGAAUCAAACUAUUCUGAUUGCGCUUUGCUGAAACAGUUUUAUUUUUCCUGAAAUCAUGCCUGUCUUAAUAUAUGUUCUAUCAUGUAACUAAUCAAUUAGUUUGUCAAAUUUUAAAUAUAUGUUGAAUAGAAUUAAAUAUAUUUCUGAAGUUAUACUUUGAACUCUUAAUGAGCAAAGCUCUAAAAUAGCAAACCAUUAUUCUGUUGGCGACGCAUGAUAGAUCUUGGAACGCAAUUAGAAUGUUUUCACGGUCUUCCUUGUUCUUGGUCUCAUCAACCAACAAUCUAGCAAAACUAUUUCAUUAAUUGAUUCCAUAACCUUCUGCAACUAUUUUACCCAUGAUGGGGAUUAUUUCAUUUUGGAGUUGUGGCUUACUAUAUUUGACAUUUGCACUGAUCCUUAAACUUGUUUUUAUUGUUUCUCAUAGAAAACUGAAGUAUUGUAAUUGCAGGAACCACUUUCAUUUACUUCUAAUUGCUCACAUCGUUAGUCAGUCCUGAAAGAUGAUUGACAAACAAAUAAAAUUUGAAUUUCUUCAGCAA